UGGAUCAAUGAUGACCAAGGGUGGCGUAUGAGUCGUAGACUGUGACUACGUAUCUGGAACUCUGAGGUCCAA